GCUUGUCAGUUGGAUCCAGAGGGUCUCAAGGCAUGCUGUGAGGUCCCAGGCUCUGGCCUCCUACCUCAGAGCAUCCAGGCAGCACUCCCAUCCAGGGUGGGAUGCUAGAGAAGUUACCUGAAGUGCUCCCCAGGGAGGAAAAAGCCGAGACAGCAUUGUUCAGUGGCAGAGUGUGAAAUCAGGAGCCACAAGGACAAUCUGAAUCCUGUCUCUGGAUGUUUCCUAUCUUGGGGCUAUACACAUUAGAUUACAGAAUCAGCACCAGAAAUCUCAUGGUGAUGGCAACUGAUUCUCAUGAUGAUGGCAACCUGAGCAAAACACUGGUGGUUCCAGAGCUGAGCAAAACAAGUCAGCUUUAUACCUCAGCUGUGGAGCUGUUUGGAGCAACUCCUUGUACACACCAAGAAAGCAUGGGAAGGGACAGAGGAAUCCCACAGAACAGCUGAACUAUUGCUAAAUGGAAUGUCUCCAGGUCUCCUGUGAAUACCUGGCAUGCCAUCAGCAUGCUGCUAUAAAUACCCCACUGUCAAUAACUCAUCUUUCAGAAUAGCAGAUGGUUGGGGUGCCGGGUUAUAUGACAAAAUUUGGAGUGGAUCUGUUAACACGCUCAUUUUAAUAAGUACCAACCCCUAGGACUAGAGACUGAAGGAAAUUAAACUAAAUGACUGUUUAAAUCAA